AUACGGAGGACGCGAGCGUUAUCCGGAUUCAUUGGGUUUAAAGGGUGCGCAGGCGGCCAUUUAAGUCAGCGGUUAAAUCGUGGGGCUCAACCCCAUUCUGCCGUUGAUACUGGGUGGCUUGAUUGCGGUCGAGGUUGGCGGAAUUCGUUGUGUAGCGGUGAAAUGCGUAGAUAUGCCACAGAACGCCGAUAGCGGAGGCAGCUCGCCAGGCCUUCAUUGACGCGCGGGCACGAAAGCGUGGGGAGCGAACAGGAUUAGAUACCCUGGUAGUCCACGCCGUAAACGAUGGGCGCGCGUCGUCGGCGGCAGACAGUCGGCGGCCAAGCGAAAGCGAUAAGCGCCCCACCUGGGGAGUACGGUCGCAAGGCUGAAACUCAAAUGAAUUGACGGGG
rnacentral:rRNA from 1 species